rnacentral:rRNA from 1 species
GCACAUUUGCUUUCUUGUUCAUAGUUGAGUAUUAUUCAAUAAUUGAAUUCAAAUCCUUUUUUGGGCUUUAAGGGCGAGUUCUAAAGCAGGCCUUAAAUAGUGUUUAUAGUAACUCAUUCUGCCUUUCUUAUGGACUACACCUUGACCUGAUUUGUUAGGGGGGCCUGCUGAGAAUGUGUUUUAUGGAGUCAUUCUUAAAACGGCGGUAUAUAGGCUUUUAAAGAAAGCGAGAUUUAGCGGGGAUUGUCGAUUAUAGAACAAGUUCCUCUGAUUAGGGCUAAGGCCGCCAAACUACAUUGGUUUUUCUAGGUGAUACUACCUGAUGGGAAAGAUA